AGGAUGAACGCUGGCGGCGUGCCUAAUACAUGCAAGUCGAGCGGUAAGGCCACUUCGGUGGUACACGAGCGGCGGACGGCUGAGUAACACGUAGGAACGUACCCCAAACUGAGGGAUAAGCACCAGAAAAUGGUGUCUAAUACCGCAUGUGCUCUUCGGAGUAAAGCUACGGCGGUUUUGGGAACGGCCUGCGCAAGAUUAGCUUGUUGGUGAGGUAAUAGCUCACCAAGGCGACGAUCUUUAGCUGGUCUGAGAGGAUGACCAGCCAGACUGGAACUGAGAACGGUCCAGACUCCUACGGGAGGCAGCAGUAGGGAAUUUUCCACAAUGGAC
rnacentral:rRNA from 1 species